rnacentral:tRNA from 1 species
GUUUUCGUAGUUGAGUACAACAUUGAUUUUUCAGGUCAGAGGCCUUGGUUAGAGCCCAGGUGAAAAUA